rnacentral:rRNA from 1 species
UACGGGGGGAGCAAGCGUUGUUCGGAUUUACUGGGCGUAAAGGGCGCGUAGGCGGCCACCGCAAGUCGACUGUGAAAUCUCCGGGCUUAACCCGGAAAGGUCAGCCGAUACUGCGGGGCUAGAGUGCAGAAGGGGCAACUGGAAUUCUCGGUGUAGCGGUGAAAUGCGUAGAUAUCGAGAGGAACACCUGCGGCGAAGGCGGGUUGCUGGGCUGACACUGACGAUGAUGUGCGAAAGCUAGGGGAGCGAACGGG